ensembl:ncRNA F26G1.13 ncRNA
GGUGCCAACAACGAAUAGACACUAUGUAAAUUUAAGAGUUUUGAAAAAACCUUCACAAUGGCUUGCAGCGCGCAACUUCCCGAGACUGAUUAGCGUUGUCCGAAAUGCAAAUCUAGAGAUUCAAUAAUUGAGAGACGCAG